rnacentral:rRNA from 1 species
UACAGAGGGUGCGAGCGUUAAUCGGAAUUACUGGGCGUAAAGCGCGCGUAGGCGGUUUUGCAAGUCGGGUGUGAAAUCCCCAGGCUUAACCUGGGAACUGCAUUCGAGACUGCAUUACUAGAGUAUGGGAGAGGGAAGUGGAAUUUCCGGUGUAGCGGUGAAAUGCGUAGAUAUCGGAAGGAACACCAGUGGCGAAGGCGACUACCUGGCCUGUUCUUGACGCUGAGGCGCGAAAGCUAGGGGAGCAAACGGG